CGGCCAUUGCUCUCAGUUUCAGUUUAGUAACAUUAACAAAAGUUCAAUUUCAAAUAUAAUUUAACGACAAAAAUGGUAUUUUCUCGGCUAGCUGUUAUAUCCAGAAGGUCCUUUGGGACAUCAGUUAUCCGACAAGCUGGAUAUGGAGAAGGACCUGGAACUAACAUGCCAUUCCCAACCAGGAACAAGUGGUUACUCUUGGGCAUCAUGGCAGCAUUCUUUGGCUCGGGCUUUGCUGCACCAUUCGUUCUCGUUAGACACCAGCUGCUGAAGAAGUAGAUUUACAGAUUGUACAGAUUUAUAGUCCUUCAUCCUGACCCAAUAGAACUAAGAAGAUGUGAAAUGCAAAUGGGAACAACUGCAGCCAUGGAGACAGCCACAGGACAAGACUAUUUAAUUUAAUUUAAAUUUUGCCUGACUUUUAUCAGUCCUUAUGAAACAAGAGUGGGUUAAUUUUUUUCAUGGAUUGGUUAGCAUUCAUUGAGAAUAUGUCAUGAGGGAUCCAAUGAGGAAUGGAAUCUUUAUCUUCUGAAGUAAUUAAUGAAUGUGUUUUUAUAUGUAGUAUUGUUAUAAACUGCUUUAUUGUUAUUUCUUACGGUCAGACGCACAAAUUCGUAAGUUUUAUGCAGGAGUGGUUACAGGGUAGCUAUAUUGUUUAAAGUGAAAACUUUUCCUUCUCGCACAAAAAGAAGUUGAUGUAUUGUAUACCUCUUCAAUUCACAUUUCCAUGUUUGUUUGUUUGUGCUUAUGGUGCUGUCUUUAAGAAAAUGGUGUGAUAUUUAUUUCAGGCAGUACUGUCAACCAUUUUACUUGAACCAUUCAUGCACAAUUAAAGAAAUUUAAUAUUAAAUGAUUGAAUACAAGUUUUCUCCAUUAAUCUACAUACACAGUUCGCAGGAUUAGUCAUAUGACAUUGCGGGAGAUUUCCAACCUUCUCAUAACUGGUUGCAUUUUGCAUUUCCAUCUUUGAUGUUCACUUAUUUGAAUGUGCUUCACAUGUUACAUUGAGUAAAUAGAGAAAAUGUAUUAAAUAAGUUGAUUAAACUUUGAA